UACGUAGGGUGCAAGCGUUGUCCGGAAUUAUUGGGCGUAAGAGCUUGUAGGCGGUUUGUCGCGUCUGCUGUGAAAUUUCGGGGCUCAACCCCGAACUUGCAGUGGGUACGGGCAGACUAGAGUGUGGUAGGGGAGACUGGAAUUCCUGGUGUAGCGGUGAAAUGCGCAGAUAUCAGGAGGAACACCGAUGGCGAAGGCAGGUCUCUGGGCCAUAACUGACGCUGAGACGCGAAAGCGUGGGGAGCAAACAGG
rnacentral:rRNA from 1 species